rnacentral:lncRNA from 1 species
CGGACCACCACGAUGUGGCGAUCUCGGCCUCGUCGACGUCGGGCCGAUGCACGUCCGCGUCAUAUCGACGGUCGUCACAAAGCGAAAGUACCAUACGGCCGACGGUCUCGGAGCACCACGAUCCGUCCGCGUACCGGGCAAAGGCGUAUGUGAGCGCCAUGCGCAGGCCAAAGCCGAUCAGGCGUUUCGCCCGUUCGGGUCUCUGCAGGUCGAGCGCCACGACGGCCGCCGGCAGCCACCAGUCGAAUGGCAUCUUGUCGCACUCUUUGGCGGUAUCCGAGCAAGCGCACCCAUACCGUGUGCAAGACAGACGGUCGGCGUUGCACUGCGCCGAAAAUCGCCGGGCUAGUGCAAUCGCCGGAUCGUCUGCGUCGGCUCCGUUUCUGGUUUCGCUGUCGGCAUGGAUGGCCGCCGAAAAAGCAACGUCGUCCACGCAGGCGAGAUGGUUCGUGCCCCAAUCGUCGAUGCAAUCCGCAUGGUCCGACUCAAACCACGAAAGCAGAAACGCCGCCCGUCCGGCAUAUGCAAACUGGGCGAUGAGGUGCGUGAGAAUCAACUCGUGAUUUUCGUGAUAGGCGCGACCGUUCUUGUCGCAGGCUCGCAAAAGCCGACCGUGUGCGUCCUUGGCGAAUCGCGCACAUCCGUGGGACCGUGCCGCGAGAUCAACAAUGGCCGUAAACGCGCGAUCGCUGCAUGACCUGGCGCAUGAUAGAGCCAGUGCCGCAACGCCGUCUGGGUCGUAGGUGACGCCGCCGGCCGUGCGUCCCGACCAAAGGUCGAGCGCAUGUGCCGGAUGCGAGGAAUCGAUUGCAAUUGGAUUAGAAUAGGCACAUGCGUGCGACGCCGUCGGUGUGGCAUAUAUCCACGCGGCGCGCAAGACGCAAUCGGCGUCGGCGCCAGAAACGGGUGCGAUCAUCCUUUGGUCCAAAAAGCACAUUGCGCUGUCUGUCGUGUUCAGGCGCAUCACAUCGGGCAGGUUCCACAAAUGCCACCAGAGGGCGUCGACCACCAGGUCGUCGUUGGUGCAGACAGCGGCGUGCAUGAGCGCCCUCGAUCCGGCCACAAGCAGCGACGCCAACGACGCCGGAUGGAGACACUCAAAGACGCACCGCAAAAGUUCGCCCGGCAGCCGCGCCCAUACGCAGUCGACGCGGUCGAUGGUGUGUCCCUGCGCGCGCCAGUAGGCAACGCAAGCACCGAGCCGGAGCGAGACGGCGUGACAGACGGCAAUGGGCGUCUUGGAGGACCCGCUCGACGGCUGUCCCUGUCUGUUUUCCUCCGCGUCCAUCUUUGCAAGGCUCCUCUCUGCGGAAACAACAAGCAGGCCACAAAGAUGGCAUGAAAGAAUGUUGCCGUGCGGCGAUCAUGUUGUUUCAGGCGGCUAUUGACCAAUGAGCAAAUUGUCUACAUUUUUUUGACCGAGUCGCCAGUGACGAGCGCAUCUAGCGGCGGCAAUGAAUUUUUGCUGUCACCAACUGGCAUGGGCCAGUGGACUAAAGAAGAC